rnacentral:tRNA from 2 species
GCGAGUGUAGCUCAAUGGUAGAGCAUCACCUUGCCAAGGUGAAUGUUGUGAGUUCGAGUCUCAUCACUCGCU